rnacentral:rRNA from 1 species
AUUGAACGCUGGCGGCAGGCCUAACACAUGCAAGUCGAGCGGAUGAAGGGAGCUUGCUCCUGGAUUCAGCGGCGGACGCGUGAGUAAUGCCUAGGAAUCUGCCUGGUAGUGGGGGAUAACGUCCGGAAACGGGCGCUACUACCGCCUACGUCCUGCGGGAGCAAGUGGGGGAUCUUCGGACCUCACGCUCUCAGAUGAGCCUAGGUCGGAUUAGCUAGUUGGUGGGGUAAAGGCCUACCUAGGCGACGAUUCGUAACUGGACUGAGUGGAUGAUCAGUCACACUGGAACGGAGACACGGACCAGACGCCUGCGAGAGGCAGCAGUGGGGAAUAGUAGACAAUGGGCGAAAGCCUGAUCCAACCAGGCCGCGUGUGAGAAGAAAGUCUUCGGAUUGUAAAGCACUUUAAGUGGGGAGGAAGGGCAGUAAGUUAAGACCUUGCUGUUUUGACGGUACCAACAGAAUAAGCACCGGCUAACUUCGUG